rnacentral:lncRNA from 1 species
CUGGCAUCUCAGAUUCUCUGGGAUGGGGCUGACCUUUCCAGGUGUAGUUACAAGACUGUUGUGGCCUACCUCAGCGAGAAAGCUCACAGGCAGACACAUCAACAGUCCUAAUCUUCCUCACAACCAAUAUUGUGUACUUCCUCCUGUCUUCAGGCUUCACCCACAGGGAAUGCAUCGCACAAUCAGCCUUUGUUAUAACAGAAUAUUCCAGUACUUCCUGAGAAUUCUAGAAUGCCUAGACCUUCCUCUCAGGCUCUCUGCUCCAGGACACUCAGGCUACAAAACCUCCCUCCUCAAAGUUCUUCCCAUCUAUACUGGACUGGAGUUCACAGGCAGGAUAUGUUUUGGAGACCAUGCCAUCUCUGCUAGCAGGAAAGAGGAGGGCAGGAUGCAGGUUGACAAGGUUUCAAGAUUUUCCCAACUGGUUUUGAAAGGCAACCUGUGGAGUAUUUCACAAAUGAGAAAACAGAGGUUCCAAAAGUUACUGGAAUCCAUGUUCUUACCUUCUUCCUGGAUAUGAAGAGGAAGCAGUGUGGGCCACUUCAAAGGCCUGGUCUCGUCCUGUCUGCCUGGCUGGGAUUGCAGUGUUCCCUGAGCAGUCUUGGAAGUGACUUAAUGAGUUGGCAAAGGCUCUGUCAGUCCGAGUCCCUAGAUGACCAUCCUAGGGAGGACUGCUCCACCUACCUCUUGCCCAGCCCAGAACUAUGAACUGAACAGGAAAUAAACUCCCAAUGUGAUUAUAUUUUUUAAAAUUUUAUUUUAUUGGUACAUUU